AAAAAAAAAAAUCAAGAAAUAUUUUGUGAAAUAUGUUUAGUGUUUAUUUGUUUAGCUUUUGUUUUGGCUGGUGAUGUUUUUCCAUCCGAGAAAGGCCCCUCUGGGUGAAUUUUGAUGGCCUAGCUAUGGGUGAUGGAUAAACAUCCCUCCUUCUUCCAUGACCACCCGCACCUACCCUGGCAAGCAGACUUCCCUUUGAAAAGAUGGUCAUUUUGGCUGCAGUUUUGCUGUAUUUGGUCCUAGACCAAAUGACAGUUGUUUAAAGAUCUGGUUUAGGUCCAACCAAGUGGCUUGGGCAGGGGAAGAAGAACAACGUGCUCGCUCCAACUGAAAGGUUUUCUGCUGUUGUCCUCCAGGCUGAAAUGCCUGGUACCAGUGUGGGAUGUUUUGCCUUUCUUCUAGCUCCACCAAGUGACUUGGUCUUUGGCUUCAGCGUAGGAUCAUGGCGUACAGUAAGGAGUAAUGGAAAUGUGCUCUACUGCUGUUGACUUGUAGCUGAUGCAUGAAGAGUAGGAUAUUUCCUUGUGCUUUUCCAGAAUAGCUAUGCAUGACUCUGAGCUUAAAAUGAAAGAUAUGCUGUCAUUUUGUGGGCUUUUUUCCCUUCUUUAAGUGUAUCUAUACUUGAAGAGGGAGAAGGAAAGAGAGAGAAGUAAGAGCUAUUGGCUGGUGGCUUCGAACAGAGGGUUGACCGAGCAGCAUUACUUGCAGGUCAAGGCAGCUGAAUGGAAGUAAAACAAAAUUAUAAAAAUAAAAACCGAUGGAGGAGAAAAAACAAAAGCCUAACCUUGCUUCAGAGUGUUGUGUUUUUGGAAAGAUUAAAUGAUGAGAUGAAAAUGCUAAGCAGAACCUGCCCAGAUCUGUGAGCUGCUCUCCUCAUGGAGCUAUGAACUCAUUCCAGGUGAUUCUCCCGACCCCCUGAGCUUUCCUAAGGGCUUUCCCAUUGCCACAGGUCUGCAUUUACAGCAACCUCCUCUGCUUUUGAGCAGAAACGCUGCAAUGCUGACUAACCUGUUUGUUUCUCGUUGCUUCUUUUUAGGUGCUGAUGUACUUCUUGGGUUUUCUUUGUGGUUUAUCUCAGCCGAGGCUCAGCCAGGGUCUGGGUGCUGACGCCUUCGGUGUUCCACUGCCAAACAGCAGCGAGCUGCAGUAGUGUCAGCUCACCAGUGAUGUGCAGACACCUGGAAGUCCCUCAGCAAAGCCAUGUUGGGCAGUGAGUCCUGUCUGAGCGGUGCUCCUGGAGCUGACUGCGUCCCAUACUCACCAGGUGUGCACCUGGCACUCACUGAGGUAAGUGGAGCUGUCUCCAGAGAUUUUCCCUCCAGCCCGUGACAUCUCUGCUGUCCCCAUUUCUCCCCUGAGCACACUGGGAGCGAUGUGCCAUCCCCCAGCUCGGUUCCUGCGCUGUCAGAUUGGCUUUGCUUCACUGAACGCAUUUGUUUCGUUGGAAGUCAAAUGCUUAGCAUACAGCAAAUGAGCCCACAUCCAAAUUUCUUCUGCUUCCCAUCUGGUGACUCUGCCACUGGUUACAAACUCACAUUAUCGAUCGCUUUUUUCCUCACCCAACAUCUCGGUAGAAAUUGG
ensembl:lncRNA